rnacentral:rRNA from 1 species
GUGCCAGCCGCCGCGGUAAUACGGAGGGUGCGAGCGUUAUCCGGAAUUACUGGGUUUAAAGGGUGCGUAGGCGGCUUUGUAAGUCAGGAGUGAAAGUUUGCAGCUCAACUGUAAAAUUGCUUCUGAUACUGCAAGGCUGGAAUCAGGAUGAGGUCAGCGGAAUGUGGCAUGUAGCGGUGAAAUGCAUAGAUAUGCCAUAGAACACCAAUUGCGAAGGCAGCUGGCUAGACCUGUAUUGACGCUGAGGCACGAAAGCGUGGGGAGCGAACAGGAUUAGAUACCCCCGUAGUCC